rnacentral:rRNA from 1 species
UACGUAGGUGGCAAGCGUUGUUCGGAAUUACUGGGCGUAAAGCGCGCGUAGGCGGCUAUUCAAGUCAGGCGUGAAAGCCCCGGGCUUAACUCGGGAACUGCGCUUGAUACUGUCGAGCUAGAGUGUGGAAGGGGCGAUUGGAAUUCCGUGUGUAGCGGUGAAAUGCGUAGAUAUACGGAGGAACACCAGAGGCGAAGGCGGAUCGCUGGGCCAACACUGACGCUGAUGUGCGAAAGCCAGGGGAGCAAACGGG